rnacentral:rRNA from 1 species
UACGUAGGGGGCAAGCGUUGUCCGGAUUUAUUGGGCGUAAAGAGCUCGUAGGCGGCUUGUCACGUCUGCUGUGAAAACUCGGGGCUCAACCCCGAGCCUGCAGUGGAUACGGGCUAGCUAGAGUGCGGUAGGGGAGACUGGAAUUCCUGGUGUAGCGGUGAAAUGCGCAGAUACCAGGAGGAACACCGGUGGCGAAGGCGGGUCUCUGGACCGAUACUGACGCUGAGGAGCGAAGGCGUGGGGAGCGAACAGG